CGCAUCUGUGCAUGCAGCAUAUCAAUAAGCGGAGGAAAAGAAACUAACAAGGAUUCCCCUAGUAACGGCGAGUGAAGCGGGAAGAGCUCAAAUUUGAAAUCUUAAAGGGUUUCCCUUUACGAAUUGUAGUUUAAAGAAGUGUUUUCUGUUGAGGUUUUGGUAAAAGUUCUUUGGAAUAGGACAUCAUAGAGGGUGAGAAUCCCGUAUUUGACCUUUACUUUCAACUUUGUAGAUACACUUUCAAAGAGUCGGAUUGUUUGGGAAUGCAGUCCAAAAUGGGUGGUAAAUUUCAUCUAAAGCUAAAUAUUGGCGAGAGACCGAUAGCGAACAAGUACCGUGAGGGAAAGAUGAAAAGAACUUUGAAAAGAGAGUUAAACAGUACGUGAAAUUGUCAAAAGGGAAGCGUUUGACACCAGUGUUGUUUUUCUGAAAAUCAAUUAAAGAACUGUUUAUGCUAAGCUGUUUAGAUCUUUAUCAGCUAACUGUUUAGUUUUGAGCUUUUCUUUAAUGCACUUUUCAGUUAACAAGUCAACAUCAAUUUCUUUUGCUGUAAAAAAGCUUGAGGAAGGUGGCUUGAGAUUCGUCUUAAGUGUUUAUAGCCUCUUGCCUAUGCAGUCGGAGAGAUUGAGGUCUGCAGCGUAGAUCCUUCGGGGCUAAAUGCAUUUGUGCUAAGUUAUAGCAUUUUAUAGACAACUUGUUGACUAUGAUUUGUCUUGUAGCUUACUCGCUUAUGUUAUUUUACCUACGCUUAGGAUGUUGAGUCGUAGAGCACGCAG
rnacentral:rRNA from 1 species